CUAAUCUAAAACAAAAAGGAAACAAAAAGACUAGAAACAAAAGCAAAAUACGAAAGCACAGCAAUGAAAUUGACGAUCUCCUUUCUUCAUCUCUUGCUUUUCGGUGUUGAUGCUUUCGAUACUCAAUCGGUACUUUGUUGUGUUGGGUAGAUGAUGCCUUCCAUGCUUUGAAUUUAUUCUGAAAUCGAUUCAAGAUGUUCCCAAAGACAUGUCUUUUCCUCCAUUUCUUUCCUUUCCAUCUCUGAUUUGAUGUUUUUUGCUCUUCGGAUCUAAGACGGUGCUGGUGAAGGUGCCGCUGCAAUUUGCUCUUGUUCAACCCAAAUCGAAGAUGUAUACACCUUAAUCGUUGAUUUCCCAGAGGUUGGCAUUCUUCAGAGGGAAUAAAUUUAUACCUUUCUCUGCCAGUUAGGGGAAUUACAUUUGCUUCGCUUUAUGGGACCCCUGGAUAUUCUAUAACAUCGAAUAGGUUCGUUAGUUCUACUUAGAGUCUCUAGAGUCAUACCUUGCUUCAAUUUGGCUAAGUAAGUUUUCUUCCCUCUGGCUGAUUAAAUUUUAUAUCUUUUAUUUAAAUUUAAUGUUUUACCUUUUAUAUUGAAAAAAAAUAUUAGAUGUAAUUAACUUAUAAAAGAGUAGACUCCAAACAUAUAUGCAUGAAAAUAGUGGCUUUCCGGGAACAAAGGUUAGUACUUUUCAAUUCUCCGGCCUAGAGUUGCAAUGAUUUGCUCUGCCUUUUUAAAAAGAAUCUCUUGAUUCUACCUUUUAUCCUUACAUUCCUAAUAUAACUGAAAAUGAAAACCUCAUUGCACUAUCUCAAAAAAUCAUUACAUUUAUUGUUAGCUACUCGGAGGUUUUCUGAAAGAUUUCACUUUCAAGCUUCGAAUUUUUUUCUAGCUUGCUCCAAUUGUUAUAUUAGUAGCUUCUGAGUUACAUCCAUAUAAUGAGACUAAGAACUGAUUUCUUUAUUUUUCCUAAUUCCAAUGUCUGCGUUGGUGUUUUCCACAGCUCUCACAUUGGCCCUUAUUUAAAUAACUAGCUCUUGGCGCAUCGAGCAUAUCUCAAACCUCCAAAAGUUUGGUUGUAAUUGUGAUGCAUUUUUUUUUACGAUAAAGACAUGAGCAUUUCAAAGGUAUUACUGGAAAGAUUGAUAUGGCAAGACAACAUCUAAUUCACCUGCAGCAGCAACUGAAGCUCCAGUAUAGUGAUACACUAGCUAAUGAAGAAAAAGAAGCUUUGGUCCAACUAGAAAAGUGGUCACUUACUAAAGAAAGCAUUCUAAGACAAAAGUCUAGAUUUUAGUUGGAUUAAGCUUGUGAUGCCAAUACCAAGUAUUUUUCAGCAGUGAUGAAAGAGAAAAGGCAGCAAAAACAAAUAGUAGAACUUACCUCUUUGACUGGACAGAAACUGACAGAUGCAAAGGCAAUCCAAGAAGAGAUCAUACAAUUCUAUAAAUCACUAAUGGGGACGUCAACAUAAUCAUUACUUGCGGUAAGCAAAACUACCAUGAGUAAAGGUCCAGUUUUUAGUCACCAAUAGCAGGUUGAGUUGUGCAAAGAGAUUACAGAUCAGGAGAUCUUAAAGGGCCUGCAGUAUAUAAGAGAUGAUAAAGCACUUGGCAUAGAUGGUUUCAAUGCAUUGUUUUAUAAAAUAGCUUGUCCACUUAUUAAGGAAAUAUAUUUGUGCAGCUGUCCAUGAAUUCUUCAACACCACCAGCUUAUACAAAGCAGUGAACUGUACUCUCAUCACCUUAUUGCCUAAGGUUCCAAACCCACAGACAAUUAAGGAAUACAGGUCCAUUGUCUGAUGUACAGUCCUCUACAAGUUGAUAGCAAGGGUCCUAACAACAAGAAUGAAGAAUAUCAUGCCUCAUAUUAUCAGUGAUACCCAAGCUAGAUUUAUUCCAGGGAGAAGGAUUGCAAACAACAUCAUCAUGGCACAUGAAUUGGUCAAACGUACUCUAGAAAAACAUAUAUGCUAGAAUUUGCUUAAAGUAGAUUUGCAAAAAACGUAUGAUUCAGUUGAAUAGGUUUUUAUAGAGCAAGUCUUAACAGAAUUGAAGUUUCCAGCAAAUUUCAUUGGUUGGAUAAUGUGCUGUAUGAAAACAGUGAGCUACUCAAUUACCAUUAAUGGAGUUGUUAUAGAUCCAUUUGAGGCAGCUAAAGGCUCAAGGCAGGGGGAUCUAAUGUCCCCUUACCUUUUUGCAAUAACAAUAGAGUACUUGAGUAGAUUUCUCAAUGAAUUGGCAGAUAACAAGCAAUACAAAUAUGAUCCCAAAUGUGUCAAAGUUAAAUUAACCUAUCUUUUUUUUGCAGAUGAUCUUUUGUUAUUUCCUAGAGGUGACAGAGUCUCUAUCCAGUUGCUCUAUGACAAAUUUGACUUGUUCUCCAAAGCUUCAGGUCUCAAAGCAAACCUAGCUAAAAGCAACAUUUAUUUUAGAGGGGUGGACAGUGCUGAACAAGAAUGCAUAAUUCAGCAACUUGGUAUUACACUUGGGCAACUACCUUUCAAAUACUUGGCUAUUCCACUAUUUACAAAGAAGCUAAGCAUUCUCCAAUGGUAACCUUUGAUAGAAAAAAUUGUAGCAAAAAUAGCUUCUUGGACAGCCCAAAAAACUGUCCUAUGCAGGUAGAGUGCAGCUAGUCAAAACAGUGGUGUUUGGGAUACAAUCCUACUGGGCACAAAUCUUUUUAAUACAUUCCAAAGUAAUUAAGACCAUAGAAGGGUAUAGUAGAAGUUAUAUAUGGUCGGGUACUAAUGAGAUUACCAAAAAGGCACUCGUCUCAUAGAGUAAAAUGUGUUAGCCAAAGGCUGCAGGAGGACUUCAUAUGUUUGAUCUAAAAAUCUGGAAUAGGACAGCUAUAACACCUUGUGCAUUCGGGCUAGAGUUCGACUUGUAAGACGGGGGUAUAAUGGAACCAAUAUGAGGAGUAUAAGAAGUGUUUUGACAACUAAUCAAGUUAUAAGAAGAGUCAUUGGACAAAGCAAAGUCGAAAGCCACUCUAUAGAGCAUAUUUUCAAGUGAGUUUGCAAAAGGUUUGACUUCAAGUGACUAGUACCCCUUUAUUAAUUGGGAAUUUGGUAAAACUUUCUUAAUUAAAGUUGUAGUCCUUUUAAAUACCUGUCCAACGAUAUAUUAUGGAGGUUAAUCGGGCAUCUACACAAAAAGUUAUGACCGUUUUAUUGAAGGGUCACAGAGUAGUCUGCUCACUGAAAAUUGCCAUGACUAAAUACAGACCAAAUAUACGGUCCGUAUUUUGAGAUACGGUCUACGGUUCAUAUAUAUGAACCGUAUUUAGUGAGAAAAUCACCUCGACAUUAUGUUUUUGUGCCAUGAGAAUAUACGGUCCAUAAAUACGGACCGCAUCUCAAAAUACGGAUCGUAUUUAUGGUCCAUAUUUCUCCCGACGUAGUUAAGUAUAAAUACACCAGUUCAGUCUUCUAACUCUAUUUUUCAUUCCUUGAAGCCCAUCAAUCCAAGACAUUAAGGAGAGCCCUUCCAAGUCAAUUCUAACAUGUAUUCAUGUAAUCUAAUUAGGAAAUCAUUAUUUUUAACCUAGGGUUUUCAAGAAAACCCACCUCAAGGCUCAAGGUUUAAGCUUUUGGAAUUCUAUUACGAGUUUUGGAGCAAUCACGUUCUUCCCCACAAUCAAGGUUUCUAACCUAGGGUUUCUAUCUACGUGUGGAAUUCUAGGAGAUCAAAGGUUUAAGCUUUAGGAAUUCUAGGAAAUCAUUAUUUCUAACCUAGGGUUUUUAUCUAUGUGUGGGAAUAUCACUGUUCUUCCCCAUAUCACAUUCUUCCAUGAUUAUACAAAGUUCACCCAAAACUAGGAUUGUAGACAUGUUUAUGAUAACCCUAAGCUCAUGUACCAUGAUAUACCAUGUUUGUAUUGAUAAUUCGUUAUUGUAUUCUUGAUAUUUCGUUUUGGUUAUUGAGAAUAUGUCUGUAAUCCAUGAAAACCCAUACUUUGCAUUUCAUGGGUUCUUACAUGCAAGAUAUGAAUUAUUAUGCUUAUUUUCAUGAAAAUCCUACAUGUCUCCAUGUUUUCACACAAGUGUAUUAUGUAAUUAUAUAUUCAUGUUAUGUUAUACUUAUAAUUCAUGUCUACAUAUCGUGUUUAAGAAAAUCAUGGGCUCAGAUGCCACCUAUUUUCAUGUUCAUGUUUUUAGGAGUUGCACAGAUUAUCGAGAAGGCUUAGAUAGCCUGAAACUACGCUUGCCAUGGUAGGAUAAGGAUCGCUCCGCGCGGUUAGGACAAUUUUUUCAUGUUUUAUUGAUUGGAUCCUUUCAUGUCAUGUUUAUGUCUCAUACCCCUGGCAAGAUAUGAGAACGCUCUGCUGGUCGGGCCAGGUACCAGACUCCACAUACCCACGUGGUGAUUCAUAUUAUUUAUCCGUUAUAUUAAUGCUCUCCCAACGAUAAAUGCGUUUACUCAUAUUAUAUACACACACAUACACGCGCACACACUCAUGUCAGAUGAUACUCGUGUUCAUGUUCAGCUUAUAGAUACAGUUUCAGUUCUAUUAUUUUCAUGUGUCAUGCUUAUUUCAUUCAGUUACUUUACAUAUAAGUACAAUUCUAAUGUACUGACGUCCCCUUUUAUUUUUCUGGGUGCCUACAUUUCACGAUGCAAAUUUACAGGACGACGGAUCAGCUCGUUAAGACUUUGCUCAUAUCAGCUAUUGGUGAGCCCCAUUCCAUUCGGGAUGUUAUCUUUAUUUAUUUCAUGUCAGUUAUGCAGUUAAGGUAUGUCGAGGGCUUUGUUCCAGUAAACAUUUUAGCAAUCAGACUCAUGUCAAAGGUUUCAUAGACUAGUCAGUUAUGUGAUGUUAGAUGUUUAGAGUCGUAUAGCUACGGUUGGCUCGGUAUUUGUCAUGUUUAUUCAGAGUAUUUCCGCAUUAUGUUUUAAACCAGUAUUUUCAUUACUAUUAUGAGAUUUCAUGAUUACUUAGAUCAUCCAUGUUUUAUAUUAUAUUCCGCAUUAGUUCAUACCCUAUGUUGAUUUAGCAAGCCAUGUGGUUCGCUCGGUCACAUGCAGCAAGGCAUUGAGCGCCAUGUUACGCCAGGUCAUGGUUCAGGGCGUGACGUAGUAGUUGCGAAAGUAUGUUAGGAUCUAGAAAACAAGUUGGAUAGGCUAUGGAUAAGGUGGAUCCAUGAUUAUUAUAUGAAGGAUGCUCAGGUUGCACAUAUGCCCAUACCAUAACAAGCUAGUUGGAUGGUACGGAAGAUACUAGAGGCAAGCGUAACUCUCCAACUGAUCCAAGGGGAUCCACCAGCUACCAAGAGUAGAAUUAACUUUAUGUAUUUGCAGCUGAUUGGAAAUCAUCCCAAAGUCCCUUGGAAACAUAAGAUGGUUUCAAAUGAGGCUAGACCAAAGCUAGAUUCACUCUAUGGGUGUAUCUCCAUGGACAUUUAAACACUAAAGAUAGACUAGCCAAGUGGGGUAUUCAUGUAAAUCCAGAUUGUGUUAUGUGUGGAAAUGCAAUGGAAACCAGUGAUCACUUAUUCUUAGAGUGUGUUUGUGCCAGAAGUUUAUGGCACAGACUAAUGCAGUGGUUGAACAUAUCAAUAGCCGUACCUUCAGGACAUUCUUAGAUGCAACAAUGGAUAUGACAAAGGUCCAAAGGGAAAACUACAGCAGCACAUAUUCUCAAAAUGGUUUUUACAGAAUAUAUUCAUGCUAUCUGGGCUGAAAGAAAUGCCAGAGUUUUUGAGCAACAUGGACGAGAUUCCAGCAGUAUAGCCAGAGAAAUAGCUUGUAGUACCAAUGUUCGAGCAUAAGUGAAACUCAUAAUAGUGUUUCAACAGUUAUCAUUUUAAUUGUCGUACUUAUGAUAACGUAAAUAGCUAAAGGGUGUUGAUGUAUAGGCGAUAUUUUUAUUAUAGAUCAGCAAGCUGGGGUGUAGCUAUGCUGUGGUACUUAAAGUUCAUACUUGGUGAUAAAUACAAGUGAUUAGUUACCCCCCC